GGCGGUGUGCCCGAGUGGCCAAUGGGAACGGACUGUAAAUCCGUCGGCUUAGCCUACCCAGGUUCGAAUCCUGGCGCCGCCAC
rnacentral:tRNA from 5 species